ACGGGGCGCAGCAGGCGCGAAAACUUUACAAUGCAGGAAACUGUGAUAAGGGAACCCCGAGUGCCCGUAUACGCGGGCUGUCCAGGUGUUUAAAACGCACCUGAAGAAAGGGCCGGGCAAGACCGGUGCCAGCCGCCGCGGUAAUACCGGCGGCUCGAGUGGUGGCCACUUUUAUUGGGCUUAAAGCGUCCGUAGCUGGACUCUUAAGUCUCUUGGGAAAUCUCCUGGCUUAACCAGGAGGCGUCUAAGGGAUACUGGGAGUCUAGGGACCGGGAGAGGGGGGCGGUGUGCCGGGGGUGGG
rnacentral:rRNA from 1 species